AAAUGAGUGAAUCGUGAAUGCAAGCCUUGGUGUUUUAUGUGUCAUUGAAGACUUUACUAGGAAAAUUAGUCAAAGGCCUCUCGUGGGACCUUGCAUUUUGCAACAGAUAAGCUGAGAAAUGGACAGUGAAAUAUUGGGUACCAUUUAAUAACACAACAUCCGGCACAGAUGCCUCAAGAAAGCGGCAUUCAAAUGAGAAACUAAGCACAAUUCUUUUCAACAGGCAAUUUACCCCAUGACGAGAUAUGCUUUCACUUAUUUUUCUCUGACAUUCUCGCAUCUAGCAGCACAGCAGGAACUGAGUUAACACAAGAUGGUUACAACAACAAUAAGGCAACAAGAGGACAAGUGCAAAAAAGAAA